rnacentral:miRNA from 1 species
AUAUGUGUGUAUGUGUAUGUGUAUGUAUACAUGUAUACAUAUAUGUAUGUGUACACACACACACACACACACACACACACACACACACACACAC